CGGGACGGGUGAGUAAUGUCUGGGAAACUGCCUGAUGGAGGGGGAUAACUACUGGAAACGGUAGCUAAUACCGCAUAACGUCGCAAGACCAAAGAGGGGGACCUUCGGGCCUCUUGCCAUCGGAUGUGCCCAGAUGGGAUUAGCUAGUAGGUGGGGUAACGGCUCACCCAGGCGACGAUCCCUAGCUGGUCUGAGAGGAUGACCAGCCACACUGGAACUGAGACACGGUCCAG
rnacentral:rRNA from 1 species